GACGAACGCUGGCGGCGUGCUUAACACAUGCAAGUCGAACGGAAAGGCCCUGCUUUUGUGGGGUGCUCGAGUGGCGAACGGGUGAGUAACACGUGAGUAACCUGCCCUUGACUUUGGGAUAACUUCAGGAAACUGGGGCUAAUACCGGAUAGGAGCUCCUGCUGCAUGGUGGGGGUUGGAAAGUUUCGGCGGUUGGGGAUGGACUCGCGGCUUAUCAGCUUGUUGGUGGGGUAGUGGCUUACCAAGGCUUUGACGGGUAGCCGGCCUGAGAGGGUGACCGGCCACAUUGGGACUGAGAUACGGCCCAGACUCCUACGGGAGGCAGCAGGGGGGAAUAGUGCACAAUGGGCGGAAGCCUGAUGCAGCAACGCCGCGUGCGGGAGGACGGCCUUCGGUUUGUAAACCGCUUUCGCCUGUGGCGAAGCGUGAGUGACGGUAAUGGGUAAAGAAGCACCGGCUAACUACGUG
rnacentral:rRNA from 1 species